rnacentral:rRNA from 1 species
UACAGAAGGGGCAAGCGUUGUUCGGAAUUACUGGGCGUAAAGGGCGCGUAGGCGGCCUUCUAAGUCGAACGUGAAAUCCCCGGGCUCAACCCGGGAACUGCGUCCGAUACUGGAAGGCUUGAAUCCGGGAGAGGGAUGUGGAAUUCCAGGUGUAGCGGUGAAAUGCGCAGAUAUCAGGAGGAACACCAAUGGCGAAGGCAGCUCGCUGGGACGGUACUGGCGCUGAGACGCGAAAGCGUGGGGAGCAAACAGG